UACGGAGAGUGCUAGCGUUGCUCGGAAUUACUGGGCGUAAAGGGCGCGUAGGCGGCUCGGAAAGUUGGAUGUGAAAUCCUGCGGCUUAACUGCAGAACUGCAUUCAAAACUUCCGGGCUAGAGUACGGAAGAGGAGGGCGGAAUUCCCAGUGUAGGGGUGAAAUCCGUAGAUAUUGGGAGGAACACCAGUGGCGAAGGCGGCCCUCUGGGACGAUACUGACGCUGAGGCGCGAAAGCGUGGGGAG
rnacentral:rRNA from 1 species